CGCGUAGGCGGGGAGGUAAGUCGGGUGUGAAAUCCCUCGGCCCAACCGAGGAACUGCGCCCGAGACUGCUUCUCUUGAGUCCCGGAGAGGAAGAUGGAAUUCCCGGUGUAGCGGUGAAAUGUGUAGAGAUCGGGAGGAACACCGGUGGCGAAGGCGGUCUUCUGACGGUGACUGACGCUGAGGCGCGAAAGCGUGGGGAGGCAAAACGG
rnacentral:rRNA from 1 species